rnacentral:misc_RNA from 1 species
GCUGUGUCAAUAAAACAGAAUGUUGGCAUUUAUGUUUUCUGAAGCCAAACCCGCGUUGGCGAAUACACAAUACAACACCAGCUCUAUUUCGGACCUCCUUGAAUAAAUUCAACAUACCGUAAUUUUGACAACAAAGCUCACCUAUUGCUGGCGAUGUUUAACAGCAAAUGUUGACACGAUUGGCUUUUCUUUUAUGGAAGGUUGACUGAAGGGCACAUUAGCUGCCAUUUUAGUGGAUGGAUGAAAGUAACACCCAUCGGUUGCUAAGUUGACGGAAGCAAAUAGUAGUAAUUCUACCCCAGGGCUUUAACCUAGCUGAUUCCGCAAAGCUCUUUUGAGAAAGCCACUAUUCAUUACGUGGUAUGCUUGAUAUUCGGAUUAAUCUGUUGGUACAUUGGUGGCCGCCUAGUCAACGAAGGAUGACUAUGUUUUCGAGCGUGACAUGUGCAUCAUAUUAUUACUAAAACUAAUUUACAUGGGGAGAGAAAAAUAAUUAGAAUAGCCGUUUCCAGCGCAACAACUUAUUGAUUAAUUCAGUUUUCUCUGCGCGACAUCCUAGUGAACAAUACUGGUAGUAGUUCUAUGGUACACGGUGGAGUGCGAUCUUCUUACACAAGAACAGUUGAUAAUGUGACAGAGGACGAUUAAAAUCUGAGGGGAAAGGUGAAAUUUACAGAAAUACACACCCAACCGUAUGUGGAUUGUAUCACGUUCCCUGUACAGACGCAAGCAAUUUCAUAAAUAGCGUUGUGGAAACGGCGUGAAGGUGAACCAGCAUCUGUUAUUAGCCAUUCCAUAUCAAUAGAACUGGUAUCACACCUGCAUAACGCAGCUACAGGUGAGCGAAUUGCCAGUCAUACUGAGCACAGAGAGUGGGGAGGAUUUCAGCCUACUGUAUGAACUCGACAGGAGGUCGGUACUAAGAAGUUUAUAUCAACAGCAUGCACAACGACAACGUUGACAGCAACACGCAUAGAGAAUCUUACGGGAAUACCUAGAAACUCAUUCGGGCAUGUGAAAUAAAAACGAGAUAUUAUCAUUCUCUACGGAAUUAGACUCAGAGCACCAGAACGGAGGAACUUAUGUUCGAAUAUAGAAAACACAAUGGCAAGAAUGUAGAGGAAAUCACUUUCUUUCUGAUUUUUUGAACAUGUACUUGAACAUCCUCCUAACGUCAGGACAACACAAUGGCGACCAAAAAACCUAACAAUACUCAUCCGAGGAUUCGGUGUAAAGACAUCCCUUUUAUAUCUCCGUCCAUCUUGACUGUGUUCGUUGGAUUACUAGUUACAGCCGGCGGGGGAGGCUUGUGUGUUGUUGGAUAUUACGCAGACUAUUUUUCCACAGAAACUGUCAACGCGGCUAACGGCACGGUGACGUACAGGACGAACGACGUGUCACGUAGCUGGCUGGUGGCUAUGCCCUACGUCGGCUCCGUCAUAAUGGGGAUAGGCUCGUUUUUAAUCAUCGUCGCCUGUGUGGUAGUGUGUGAGGCAUGGGACAGAGUUAAAAACAGUAAAAUAGAAUCAAGUACAUCGGCAAAGAAAAGCCCCAAAGACAUAUUUUACUCCACCGUGGUCGAGGAGGUGGCGCGUGAUACCAAAACCAGGCAAGACCGUCUCUCGGCUACACUGCGAGGGGAAAACGACCUGCAAAACAGACCACUUACAGCGAUAAAGGAAGCAGCACUAGAGACUUCGCAGGAAGAAAAACCAAGCUUUUUAGAGAGAAUAGGUCUGAGGCGUAAAGAGAAAAAUGCUGAAAAACCUAUAGAAAAUAGCGAGACUAUCUCUAAAGCACUCAAGCAAAUUCCAAUGGAAUUAUUUACUCUGACGCCAUUUGAACAUCGGUGUAAAUCUAAUAGUGGCUUAUCUGAAGAAGGGAGGUCCAUGUCGAGUUGGAGUUUACCAGAUGACAUAAAUAAAAACAAAAAAGCGGGUAGUGCAAAUUCCCAAGCGGAUUUGUUCGAAUACUGUAAAGAGUGUUCCUCAAAUUCUAGCGAAACGACAUCUCCCAAUUUGUCGAAAAGACCCCCAGGGUUUAACACGCGGCUCAUCCCACCACAAGGUGUGGGGAGCCUUUACUGUGAUACCGCCUCCAAACCCACGACUCCUGAUUUAUCCCACAAUGUCCACAGACCGGGCGGGGUCAUUAAAGUCAAAGAAAAAUGUGUCGACCCUCUGGAGGACGACUCUCAGCAUUACCCUAAAAGUGACGUCUGUGUGAUAGUCCACGAGGUAUCGGUGCACAAUGAGGAUGAUACCCAAGUAGAGAACUUUUUUUCUUUAACGGCCAGCAAUACUCCUGAUGAAGCGAAUACUUCUCCAGGCGAUCACUUAGCUAGUAGUGUAUAAUAACGGCUAAUGUGGCCUUGGACUAGAUUGAUAUUGAUAUGUGAUUGUUGUUGAAAGCCUUGAAAAACUCACUAUUCUGAUUACCAACAAGUGUUUCAUUGCAAUGCAUUUUAAUUGACUGUUCUGUAUAAAGAAAGUAUUCAUCAUUUCCAUCAAUCCAUCAUUUUUCUCAUUUAACUUUGAUUUUAUUGUAAUUUGAUAACCCAAAGAGUGAGAUCGUCAUUAAAUAUUGAUAAUAUAUGCAGCUCCUGUUGAAAGGUAAAUGUGAUGAUGUACUUUGUAAGCGAUGCAAAACAAACUACGAUGUAUGUCGUUUGUUGAUAUUUUCGCAAGGAUUUUAAGCCAUCAGAAGCCCCCGAAAGCCUUUGGUACAAGUUUUCGUUGAAGCCAAGACGAAC